AACGAACGCUGGCGGCAGGCUUAACACAUGCAAGUCGAACGCAUCCUUCGGGGUGAGUGGCAGACGGGUGAGUAACGCGUGGGAACGUGCCCUUCAGUUCGGGAUAACCCAGGGAAACUUGGGCUAAUACCGGAUACGUGCGAGAGCAGAAAGAUUUAUCGCUGAAGGAUCGGCCCGCGUCUGAUUAGCUAGUUGGUGGGGUAAUGGCCCACCAAGGCGACGAUCAGUAGCUGGUCUGAGAGGAUGAUCAGCCAGACUGGGACUGAGACACGGCCCAGACUCCUACGGGAGGCAGCAGUAAGGAAUCUUCCACAAUGGGGGCAACCCUGAUGGAGCAACGCCGCGUGCAGGAUGAAGGCCCUCGGGUCGUAAACUGCUUUUAUAAGUGAAGAAUAUGACGGUAACUUAUGAAUAAGGAUCGGCUAACUCCGUGCCAGCAGCCGCCGUAA
rnacentral:rRNA from 1 species